AGGUUACAUAAGGUGUACUACUUUGUGCUAGUACAUCUUGUAUUGUAUUGUUGCUUGUUCAAGCUUCUGAUGCUCCACAGCAAGCGAGGCUUUGUGGAAUCCUGGAGAGUUCUAUUUAUUUCCUGUCUUAUGUCCCAGCUGCAUUCUAGUUUAUGUAGUCGAGUCUUGGGCAGGUUUCUCUCACUCUUUGUCCUGCAUGGUACUAUUUAUUUUAAAUGUCUUUGUAAUUUUUUUCAAACAAGACAUUGUAAGUAAUAUAUAGUAAUAAUAUCUAUAGUAUAUAGUAGUAAUAUAUAUGUAGUAAUAUGUAACUGGUCACAUUUUAUUUUGAUUAGAUAUUAUAAUAGAUAGCUCCUGCUGAAGAUCAAGAAAAUAUUUACCAAGUACUUAUGAGAUUAGAUCUUCAAACUAUAGAGUUUAAAAAGGAAACUUCUAACUGUGCAUCCUGUGUCCUGGUAUUGCGCUGCCUUCUCUGGGGCCCUGUGAAGAUGGAAUAAGUGAGCCUGCGAGCAAAGAGCAUGGUGCCAUUUUCAGGACAGGAGCGCAAACCAUUCUUCAAGGACAAAGACGGAGUGAGGUAGCUUUACCAAGGGCAGAGAAUGCAUGGGACGUAACACUGACGAGCCCUCUGGAAAUGUUGCUUGUCUAAGAAACUCAGUGACUCAAGAAAGGAAUGAAAACAGAGGUCUCAAGUAUGAAGACAAUGUGGUGAGAAGACUGACUAAUUUACAUAAGUCUAAAUAAAGAACUAAAGCAAGCAUAUUGGCAGAGAUUAUGACUUAUAGAGAAAUCCAGUAGUUAAAAAUAAUAUAACCAAUGAAAAUGUGGUGACAGGCACGGAAUGUUCUCCCUCCUAUUCGU